CUGCAAUCAGAAUUAAUAUGAACGUUUUAAAAAUUAUUUUAUACUGAAAUAAAUAAAUAUACAGGCUAAUAAGCCUGUAGCUAUAAGCGAUAGUUACUAAUUAAGUUUGUCACUCAUAUUUCCAUCUUGCAGAGGACCUCCGUAACGAGAUCAAAGAUGUACACCAGCUGUGCAGGGUGAAGAGGUUAUCUCAAACGCCCUUAAUUGGGCCACAGCCCAAUUAAGAGCGACUCAAAUGUCAUUACCGCUAAGUACUUCUUGCCAUUUGAGUCAGCAUGUUAGAGCUAGUCACUACGGAUUGUGGUGACACAGCACUGGACUGCCUGCAGAAGUUAAUCGCAUAUAGUCAUUUCACUAGCAAUGUGCCUGAGCCAACGGAGCCUUUGCGGUUGCUUCACCGGUCCACAGACCGAUGAGAGUGUGCAGCUGCAGAUUAUUAAAGCUCUGCUGACUGUAAUGACAAGCCAGCAUGUGGAGGUAUACGAGGAUGAUCAACGUGAUCUUCGCGCGAAUGGAGACUCAGGCGGAGGAAGAGAACGUGAGGCUUGAUGGGGAACAUCAGCAGGAGGGUUCUGUCAUAGCAAACGGCAAAACUGAAGCUGAGCUAAGUCUUAGUUAGCUAAGUCUAACUAGCUCAUCUAACAUCUUCAUGAAACUUUACGUUGCGUGCGUCUAUUUAAUGACGAUGGAUGUAGAAAGCUCUUCAAAUCACUUCGAGAGGAUUAUCAAAAGCGAUCUCCUUAUAUCGCAUAUUUAAUCAGAUGUCGUCAGGGAUUGCUGUCGACAUUAGCUCACUUAGAUAGAUUAUGCGUGCGAGUUAAGUGCGAUCGGGAUGCUAUCAAUAAUCAUCUUGUAUCCGUUUGUGUGAGGGUAUUUUUGAAAAAAAAGAAGGCUUUCCUCCUGCGUUUCUGCGAAGAGUUUAAAAAGCUUACGCUAGCUGACGAGAAACAGGAUCUCAUGGAUAAUUGUCUAGGGAAGGUCCAUGUGGAAAUGGACAACGAUCCGAUUUGGCAAUCGGCAAGCGCCAACCAGUUAGAUUUGGCGAGAGUCGUGGUGGAAAGAACCGUCAUGGCACGGAUAUACCACAAUGCGCUCUAUCUAAAUGAAGAUGGAGAUGUAUAUAGGGACCAGCUUUUUCACGGUCACAUCAAUAAGUUGGCAAAGGUCGUAACUCCAAAUCACAGGGAUACGCAUUUCAAAAGUUUAUCAUUACGAAUGCCCCUGGUCAUGGGCCCAGGCUGAAUUGGCUGUGAUAUCGGCGUAUAAGAUUCCUAGGGAUAAGUUGCAGUGUGUAUUUCAUUGCGCGACUACCAUCAUGAAUCUCUUCUCCAUGGCGUCGGAAAGAGACUAAUCCGCCGUCGUUGUAUCGACUGUUCAAUAUGUAGACAGCUUUUACGGGAAUCGAUUGGAGGGAGAGGAACAAUAUUGGUGGACGCAGUUCUGCGCCGCGAUCGAGUUAAGACAAUGGAUUAACAGUUUCUCAAGAGUAUCACGAUAAAUAAGAUUAGAUUCGAUGCUGGUGAUAAUGUAGAAAUGUAUCAUAAUCAUAAUUUGACGAUUUCAUAAAGAAGAAGACCAAUAUCUUGUGUAAAGCUAGCUGAACAGUUUUAUGCUGCCAGUAUCAAUUAAAAUUCUUAAAUAGCCUCUUAAAUAGUCUAACUGUUAGUUCUUUCGCACAUUAUUAUGUAACAUUAGCAAAGACUGAAUCAGAUUAUACGUAAAGUGUGGCUUUAUCUUUAUUUGUAACUCUAUUGUAUAAUUUCACAGGACAUCGAAAAAAAAAGAAACGUUUAGAUAUUCUAUAAUUUAUGUACAAUACAGAACUUAUAGAGAAUUCAUAACCAUUUAGCAGGCUAAACUCUGUUGGCGUACUCUUUCUACAUGCGCACCUUCCUCAAGAGCCGAGACUCGAACUAGAUCCGUGAAAAAUAUCGCCAAUUUCAUAGAGCUUUUGUACAGUUUUACUCUAGGAAUAUCGCGAGAGAAAGAAAGACUUCGGAGAUUUUUAUCUGAAUCGAUCGACAUAAAGAGAGCAUAGUAAAGAAGCUAUUAGCUUUCGAGAAUUUGAACGCAUAAUACUUUGUUAUAAUACUAUGAGCGAAUUAGUUUACGUCACUCUGUCAAGUUUUAAUAUCGAUAUCGGUAGUUUAAUAAUAAUACAUUUAAAAGCGCUCAAUUUAAAAUAAGUAGGGCAAUCCUAAUAAACGACUGUAAAAAAAAUUCAAGGUGGAACGCAAUGGACAAUCCGGUUGCUCUGACAUGCUAACUUAAAUGGCAAAAAGUACUUCUCAGCGGUAAUGACAUUUGAGUCUUUUAAUUGGGUUGGGCGUUUGAGAUGACCUGCUCUUCACCCUGCACAGCUGACGGACCUUCGGGAA